CACAGGUUCCUUUUUGAGCGAUAAAACUCUACAUUGUCCAUUUCUAAUGCCGAGAAAGUUAUCUUGCUCAAAGAAUGUGGAGGCUGUUCAUUUUUCGUAACAAAAAAUCAGCUAGAGUGAAACAAGAGCUACCAUGGAAUGAGAACUUCUGUGUAAAUGAGCAAUUUGAGAAGAACAAUCCCUCCACAUUACAACAGGUGCAACACCUGAAGAAUUACUGAUGAGGCACCAUCUUUGAACAAGACUGAUACUUCC